UGCCCAAUGGCCAAGCUGGUUAAGGCACCCGACUGUUAUGCUAAGACUUAUCCUACUAAGGCUUACGAGCAGUUUCUUCGGAUGAUCGGGAGAUCGUAAGUUCGAUCCUUACUUGGGCAG
rnacentral:tRNA from 1 species